CCUACGGGAGGCUGCAGUGGGGAAUAUUGCACAAUGGGGGAAACCCUGAUGCAGCGACGCCGCGUGAGUGAAGAAGUAAUUCGGUAUGUAAAGCUCUAUCAGCAGGGAAGAAAAUGACGGUACCUGAGUCAGAAGCCCCGGCUAACUACGUGCCAGCAGCCGCGGUAAUACGUAGGGGGCAAGCGUUAUCCGGAUUUACUGGGUGUAAAGGGAGCGUAGACGGCAGUGCAAGUCUGGAGUGAAAGGCGGGGGCUCAACCCCCGGACUGCUCUGGAAACUGUACGGCUGGAGUGCAGGAGAGGGAAGUGGAAUGCCAGGUGUAGCGGUGAAAUGCGUAGAUAUUAGGAGGAACACCAGUGGCGAAGGCGGCUUCCUGGACUGAAACUGACGUUGAGGCGCGAAAGCGUGGGGAGCAAACAGGAUUAGAUACCCGAGUAGUC
rnacentral:rRNA from 1 species